rnacentral:lncRNA from 1 species
AUUUGAUUCUAGAACCUACGAUCUUAUGCAUAAACCUCUGAACCAGGCAGAUCUGCAUUAUCUGAUUCUACGCUAGAAAAAGUCAACUUAAAAAAAAAAAAAGAAAGAAAGAAAGAAAACCCUCACAAACUUCUUACCAUUGUUCAAACUUAAAAGAUGUGAAAAGUAGGAGCCACAUUUCCCACUUUCAAACAAUAAUCAGGCUUUAAUAUUCAACACUGAAGAGAGCUAUAAACAAAAACGAUACCGGACCUAUUAAACCCUGCUUAGCGUACAUGUGAACACAAGGUCCUGCUCUAAGUAUUAACACUUUAUCACAUACUUAACAUCAAAAACUAAAGUUUAAGACAUUCAAAACAGAAUACAAGGAGUAGAAGAUAACCUAUUCUAAACUCCCAUUAGUAAAUCUAGAAUCAAUCGUUUCACUGUAAAUAGAUCGCAGUCCGCAACAACAACCCGAAUUUGCCGGGAGCAGUUCACUUACACAAGAGUUCCAAAGACAACUUUCCCAAAGUGCCUAAAAUAACAAUGCACUAUCCUUGCUUUCCAAAAUUCUCGAGCAUCUUCAAUCACCUCAAGCACUAUCUAGAAUUCUAAAAAUAAUCUCAAAGCAAAAACUUAGCAGUGGGUAUUCAGACCGGCCGUGCACUCUCGGGCAGCAGGCCUCGUUCUGAAAUCAAGCACAGGUAGGAUACAAGCUGCGCCAAAGCUACCACGGGGUGGGGCAUUCACGACUCGCUCAGAUAAGCCCAACACAGCUUUGGUCGGUGCUCCCAGUAAACCCCUAGUGACUCCCCAAAUUUCAACACGACUAAAGCAAUGUUUUCCUUUUGCCCAAAAUGCUUUUCACAGAAUACCAAAAAAAAAAAAGUCAUAGCCAACACUUCAAGAUAUGGUGCAAGCCAUGAUAAUGCACUUGAGAUUCUGGAAACCAAAACUCCAAUAAAAUGAAUGUGUCUCACCGCUCACUGUGAAAGAUCUGAAGCUGCACACUUCAGAUUUGUUUUUUUUUGUUUGUUUGUUUGUUUGUUUGUUUUACUUACGUGGCCAUUUGAAUGUGUGACUGAGGCAAGAGUAAAGGGUGAAGGAUGGAAUAAGGUCAAACUUAGCAGACAAAAGAUCCCUGGAAUAAACAGGGCCAGAAAGGUCUCCUUUCGUAGGGGCAGGGUGUAUAUUCAGAGAGAAAGAAAAAAAAAAAGAAAAGAAAAGAAGAGAAAAAGGGAAAAGAAGAACACGCCAAAUCCUGUACUUUCUAACACAGCAGUCCACCAGGUACCUGCCAGUCGUUGCGAGGCUCUGGAGGAAUAAGGGUUAUUUCCUGAAGAUUUGAUAAAAAUGAAAUACGGUCUAUACAGCAGACGAAAGUCUCACUGCCCGCCCGGGGGCCGCAUAAUUCCGAUACACCAGUUGUCAGACAAUUAGCAGUGAACCGUCCUGCGUGGAAAACUUGACCGUAUAUGGAAUUGAAAGAAAAACUUAACGUCCAGAAGGCGAUCUCUGCUCUCAAAAAGACCUUGAGCUUCCGAGCUCAUCUGGGGAUAGGAGGUGAGGGUGUGGCAAUGAGAGGGACAGAAUAAUCAGUCCAUCUUGUCAUAAAUGCAUUACACACAUAUGCAAAUCCGGGCAUGAUUUUUAAUCUGAUGGCAAGAAAAGCAAGUUUAGUGAAUGAUCACUGAGAUAUUAUCCGGUUUUAUAUAAUAACCAUGGAUCAUCGUGAUUCUUAAGGCUUUGCAACAAAUCUGUGCACUUCACAGCCGUCCUUGCUUCACACCUCAGAUAUUUUCAAUCAGCGUUUGAGAUCCUUCCCUGGAGUCUUCAUAGGUAUUUGAUUUUGACAUAUUAUAAUAGAACUUAAUUCUAUUGAUAUCCUAUGUUUACACCGGAGGAAUUUGAAAAGUUGUGAAGUGAUUGGAAACACAGAAUUUUAGGAAUAACGCAAUAGCUCUCCUAGAAUGCACAAUUUUGUUGUGAGAACACUGAGACUCAAAGAAGGCUACUUGCCAAAGAAAGCAAACUAGAGCCCACUUGACCCCAUUUACAGACCGAAGUUCUGUCCAACGUCAUCUUCAUGUUUCUCUCUAUUAUGGAUUAAAAAAAAGAAGAAGAAGAACUCUAUCCAGUUCAUGACAUUUGAAUAUAAGAAAGUUAAAUUUAACAUAAAAAUGUAGUACUAUGAUUUUAAAAAGAUACUGCCAUAUACUAAACUUCAGUUUUGUUUUUCUGAGUUAAAUUGUUAGUUCCACAGAAAAUGUUAUUUUACUAGUGGUUACUAGAUAAUUAUUCACUAAAUGUUUUUAUAGGAUAGUCAUAUUUGCCCACUUUGAUCAUUUAUUUCCAGCUUACCUCUAGUGGUUUUCCUACUGAAAUUUUUAAAACCUUAACCGUUUUGUAUGAGGAGAAACUUUCAAGUGUCCUUAUAGGUAUUCUUUUCUAGAAAGCAUACUAGAAUGAACAGAGGAUGGAAAUGUGAAAAUUUGAGAUAAAUUUGCACACAUGACACACUGCCAGAUAUCCUAAUUCAUUUUAGCAAUUUGUCCCAAUGUUCAGUUUUUUCUGUUCAUGAAUAAGCCUUAAUAUAAGUAUGAUUGUUGGAAGUAUAUAACCUCAGGAUAUUAUUUAAUAAUUCCUAAAUUGUACUACUCUGGAGUGUUGACACUCAGGUAAACAGUUAAACUGACAGAUUUCAUUAAAAUUAAAAAUUUAGGGGCCUCUGGUGGCUCAGUUCAUUAAGCCUCUGCCUUGGACUCAGGUCAUGGUAAUGGGAUAGAGCCCUAGUAGGGCUCCUGGCUCAGCGAGGAGUCUGCUUCUUCCUCUGCCCCUCCCCCUACUUGUGCAAGCUCUCUCUUUCAAAUAAAUAAAAUCUUUCUUAAAAAAAAAUUAAAUUA